CCUGGCUCAGGAUGAACGCUGGCGGCGUGCCUAAUACAUGCAAGUCGAACGGGCAUAGCAAUAUGCUAGUGGCGUUCGGGUGCGUAACACGUAGUUGACUUACCCCUCAGCGGGGGACAACAGUCCGAAAGGACUGCUAAUACCGCAUGAACUUUGGAGAACUAGAGUAACCAAAGAAAACUCUUGGGGCUGAGGGAGAGGACUGCGGCCCAUCAGGUAGUUGGAGAGGUAACGGCUCCCCAAGCCAAUGACGGGUAGGGGGUCUGAGAGGAUGGUCCCCCACACUGGAACUGACAACGGUCCAGACUCCUACGGGAGGCAGCAGUAAGGGAUAUUGGGCAAUGGGGGGAACCCUGACCCAGCAACGCCGCGUUGAGGAAGAAGGCUUUCGGGUUGUAAACUCAUUUUGGCGGGGACGAGAGAGGACGGUACCCGCAGAAGAAGUCACGGCUAACUACGUGCCAGCAGCCGCGGUAAAACGUAGGUGGCAAGCGUUAUCCGGAUUUACUGGGCGUAAAGGGUGUGCAGGCGGAUGGACAAGUGGUGGAUGAAAGACCCUGGCUUAACUGGGGGAACGUAAACCAGACUGUUCAUCUGGAACAUGAGAGAGGGAUGUGGAAUUCCGGGUGUAGUGGUGAAAUGCGUAAGAUCCGGAGGAACACCAGAGGCGAAAGCGGCAUCCUGGCUCAUAUUGACGCUCAACACAAAGCAUUGGGAGCGAACGGGAUUAGAAACCCCGGUAGUCCAUGCCGUAAACGAUGCAAACUUAGGCGCUGGGAAGGCUCCAACCCCUUUUCGGGUGCCGCACAAACGCCAUUAAUUCUUGCCGCCUUGGGGACUUNCAAACCGCAGGUUUAAACCUCCAAAGGAAUUGACGGGGGCCCGCACAAGCAGCGGAGCGUGUGGUUUAAUUCGAGGCUACACGAAGAACCUUACCUAGGUUUGACAUGUGUUCAGUAGGCUGGUGAAAGCUGGCCGACCGCAAGGCGAACACACAGGUGCUGCAUGGCUGUCGUCAGCUCGUGCCGUGAGGUGUUAGGUUAAGUCCUGUAACGAGCGCAACCCUCGGGUCUAGUUACAUGUUGUCUAGACCGACUGCCCGUGCAAGCGGGAGGAAGGUGGGGAUGACGUCAAGUCAGCAUGGCCUUUAUAUCUAGGGCUACACACACGCUACAAUGGUCGGUACAAUGGGCAGCCAAGCCGUAAGGCGGAGCGAAUCCAGACAAAGCCGAUCUCAGUUCGGAUUGAGGGCUGCAACCCGCCCUCAUGAAGUUGGAGUUGCUAGUAACCGUCGGUCAGCCAUACGACGGUGAAUACGUUCCCGGGCCUUGUACACACCGCCCGUCACGUCAUGGGAGCUGGUCACGCCUGAAGCCGGUGGGCUAACCGCAAGGGGGCAACCGUCGAAGGCAGGGUCGGUGACUGGGACGAAGUCGUAACAAGGUAGCUGUAGCGGAAGCUGCGGCUGGAUCACCUCC
rnacentral:rRNA from 1 species